rnacentral:rRNA from 1 species
UACGUAGGGGGCAAGCGUUGUCCGGAAUCAUUGGGCGUAAAGAGCGUGUAGGCGGCCCGAUAAGUCCGCUGUGAAAGUCCAGGGCUCAACCCUGGGAUGCCGGUGGAUACUGUCGGGCUCGAGUCCGGAAGAGGCGAGUGGAAUUCCUGGUGUAGCGGUGGAAUGCGCAGAUAUCAGGAGGAACACCAAUAGCGAAGGCAGCUCGCUGGGACGUUACUGACACUGAGGCGCGAAAGCGUGGGGAGCGAACAGG